rnacentral:lncRNA from 1 species
AGUGAUAAAACCACUUAAUGAGACGGAAACUAGGCAAGGACUUCACCUUUGUUUCCCUAUCCUAAUCGUUCACUAAGUUUAUUGUAAACUAUGUAGUGAAAAAUAACCACAUGCUCUCCAAAAUGUUUGAUGUGUAUAACACAAUUGAAAAAGGUUUCAAGAGAGAUAGUGGGAGUUUAGGGACCAUGACUAUUGUAGUCAAAAGGAGAAGUCAGAUAAAGAAGAUAAAUAACUCCAAGGGAACAAACUUUCUUUAUGAAAGGAUGGAUAUUGGAAGGGGUAUUUGCAAGAAAUGUCUUGCAAGUGUCAAGAACACACCUUUCGAAGGUGUUGUAAAUUGUUCUUGAAUAGUUCAAAACAGUUGGUUCUUCUACUUGAAUGCUUGAUUCCGUAUUAGUAACUAUGUUUUACAAAUCGUUGUAAAAGUGUGACUAAUAAGAAGUAGAAGAUAUAUGAGUGAAGAAAAUGUGCUUCACAUUCGGAAACGUGAAUCAAAUAUAGAUCUCUGCGAAAGCAGAUGGUACUCACUUCCUCAUAUGAACUACCAAAGAAAUUGGAAAAACAUAGAUUGUCUUUAUAUUCCAAUUUUAAGGAACUAAAUUCCGUCACUAUGUGAAAUGGAUAAAUGUUUUGUUUGACAAAACAAUGUUCUUUAUUAAUCAAUGAUUAGAUUAUGGUAAUCUAAUUAAUUAUCUCUAUAGUAGAGAUAAUAUGGUAGUGUUAACUGUUUAGAAAAUAAUGAUGCUUAAAAACCCAAAAGGUUGCAAGGUAGUGACUAAUCCCAACUAAAGUUGUGAUACCUCUAAAACAUAAAUUACGAGUUGGUCAUAAAUGGACGCUUUGGAUCGUUAGAUCCGGAUCCAAUACCUUCUUGUUAAAAUUGUAUGGAGGCGAAAUGUUCGAAUCUUUAUUCUUUUGGAAAGAAGAAAGAAUCACAAAGUUGUUGAGGUUAAUUCACUUAGAUGUUAGUGGCACUUGUCCACAAACAUAAUAUUACUCAUGUUGAAUAACAUUCACCGAAGAUCACUCUCGG